rnacentral:rRNA from 1 species
CCUACGGGAGGCAGCAGUGGGGAAUAUUGCACAAUGGGGGAAACCCUGAUGCAGCGACGCCGCGUGAGUGAAGAAGUAUUUCGGUAUGUUAAGCUCUAUCAGCAGGAACGAGACAAGACGGUACCUUACUAAGAAGCCCCUGCUAACUACGUGCCAGCAGCCUCGUUAAUACGUAGGGGGCAAGCGUUAUCCGGAAUCACUGGGUGUAAAGGGAGCGUAGACGGCUGAGCAAGCCUGAAGUGAAAGGCGGGGGCCCAACCCCCGGACUGCUUUGGGAACUGUACGGCUGGAGUGCAGGAUAGGUAAGUGGAAUGCCUAGUGUAGCGGUGAAAUGCGUAGAUAUUAGGAGGAACCCCAGUGGCGAAGGCGGCUUACUGGACUGUAACUGACGUUGAGGCUCGAAAGCGUGGGGAGCAAACAGGAUUAGAUACCCGGGUAGUC